UACGGGGGGAGCAAGCGUUGUUCGGAUUUACUGGGCGUAAAGGGCGCGUAGGCGGUCGUGACAAGUCACUUGUGAAAUCUCCGGGCUUAACUCGGAACGGUCAAGUGAUACUGUCAGGCUAGAGCACAGUAGAGGCAGGUGGAAUUCCCGGUGUAGCGGUGGAAUGCGUAGAGAUCGGGAAGAACAUCAGUGGCGAAGGCGGCCUGCUGGGCUGUUGCUGACGCUGAGGCGCGACAGCGUGGGGAGCAAACAGG
rnacentral:rRNA from 1 species